rnacentral:rRNA from 1 species
GCAGUCGAACGAGGUAGCAAUACCUAGUGGCGCACGGGUGAGUAACGCGUGGAUAAUCUGCCCUUCACUGGGGAAUAACUAAUCGAAAGGUUAGCUAAUACCGCAUGAGGCCACAGUUUCUGAGGAAGCAGUGGUUAAAGAUUUAUUGGUGAAGGAUGAGUCUGCGUGGGAUUAGCUAGUUGGUGAGGUAAUGGCUCACCAAGGCUACGAUCUCUAACAGGUCUGAGAGGAUGACCUGUCACACUGGAACUGAGACACGGUCCAGACUCCUACGGGAGGCAGCAGUAGGGAAUAUUGCGCAAUGGACGAAAGUCUGACGCAGCGACGCCGCGUGAGUGAUGAAGGCCUUAGGGUCGUAAAGCUCUGUUGCAGGGGAAGAAAAAAAUGACGGUACCCUGCGAGAAAGGAUCGGCUAACUUCGUGCCAGCAGCCGCGGUAAGACGAGGGAUCCUAGCGUUGUUCGGAAUCAUUGGGCGUAAAGCGCAUGUAGGCUGCCAUUCAAGUCAGUUGUGAAAGCCCCGGGCUCAACCCGGGAAGUGCUUCUGAUACUGUUUGGCUUGAGUACUAGAGAGGAUAGUAGAAUUCCAGGUGUAGUGGUGAAAUACGUAGAUAUCUGGAGGAAUACCG